UGUUAAGAAUUUCAUUAAUUUUUACUGUUAAAAAUUGGCAUGGCUGAUGGAAUAACUAGACAGUAAUAUAUGGUAUGCCACAUGUAUAUCAUGCUAAUGUACAAGGACUAAUUUUUAACGGUAAAAGUGGAUGAAAUUUUUAACA
rfam:Gossypium hirsutum cultivar TM-1 chromosome 17, whole genome shotgun sequence